rnacentral:rRNA from 1 species
UUCCGGUUGAUCCUGCCGGAGGCCAUUGCUAUCGGAGUCCGAUUUAGCCAUGCUAGUCGAGCGAGGUUAGCCCUCGCGGCGAACAGCUCAGUAACACGUGGCCAAGCUACCCUGCAGAGGGGGACAGCGUCGGGAAACUGACGGGAAUCCCCCAUACCGGUCUCUCGCUGGAAUGCCGAGACCGACAAACGCUCCGGCACUGCAGGAUGCGGCUGCGGCCGAUUAGGUAGUCGGUGGGGUAACGGCCCACCGAGCCGAUAAUUGGUACGGGGUGUGAGAGCACGAGCCCGGAGACGGAAUCUGAGACAAGAUUCCGGGCCCUACGGGGCGCAGCAGGCGCGAAACCUUUACACUGCACGAACGUGCGAUAAGGGGACUCCGAGUGCGAGGGCAUACAGUCCUCGCUAUUGUGAACCGUAGGGUGGUACACGACCAAGAGCUGGGCAAGACCGGUGCCAGCCGCCGCGGUAAUACCGGCAGCUCGAGUGAUGGCCGAUUUUAUUGGGCCUAAAGCGUCCGUAGCUGGCCCUGCAAGUCCGUCGGGAAAUCCACUCGCCUAACGAGUGGGCGUCCGGCGGAAACUACGGGGCUUGGGACCGGAAGACUUGAGGGGUACGUCUGGGGGCAGGAGUGAAAUC